UCCCAUCCCGAACUCAGUAGUGAAACGACGCAUCGCCGAUGGUAGUGUGGGGUCUCCCCAUGUGAGAGUAGGUCAUCGUCAAGC
rnacentral:rRNA from 1 species